CCCUUAGAUGUCCGGGGCCGCACGCGCGCUACACUGAAGGAAUCAGCGUGGCUUUCUCCCUGACCCGAAAGGGUUGGGAAACCCGUUGAAUCUCCUUCGUGAUAGGGAUUGGGGCUUGAAAUUGUUCCCCAUGAACGAGGAAUUCCCAGUAAGCGCGAGUCAUAAGCUCGCGUUGAUUACGUCCCUGCCCUUUGUACACACCGCCCGUCGCUACUACCGAUUGAACGGUUUAGUGAGGGCCUUGGAUUGGUCUCGGCCCGCUCUUUACCGGGCGGCGCCGUUGGUCGAGAAGACGCUCGAACUUGAUCGUUUAGAGGAAGUAAAAGUCGUAACA
rnacentral:rRNA from 1 species